GGCCUUAUAGUCUAAUAAAAAUGAUUUUAAAUUGCAAAUUUAAAGAUGGGGUAUGCCUAAGGCUU
rnacentral:tRNA from 1 species